rnacentral:rRNA from 1 species
UGUCAGGCUUUCAGGGGAUACUGUCUGGCUAGAGGCCGGGAGAGGUGAGAGGUACUUCAGGGGUAGGGGUGAAAUCUUGUAAUCCUUGAAGGACCACCAGUGGCGAAGGCGUCUCACCAGAACGGACCUGACGGCAAGGGACGAAAGCUAGGGGCACGAACCGGAUUAGAUACCCGGGUAGUCCUAGCCGUAAACGAUACUCGCUAGGUGUCGGCCACGGUGCGACCGUGGUCGGUGCCGUAGGGAAGCCGUGAAGCGAGCCACCUGGGAAGUACGGUCGCAAGGCUGAAACUUAAAGGAAU